rnacentral:rRNA from 1 species
UACGAAGGGGGCUAGCGUUGUUCGGAAUUACUGGGCGUAAAGCGCACGUAGGCGGUUUUCCAAGUUGGAGGUGAAAUCCCUGGGCUUAACCCAGGAACUGCCCCCAAAACUGGAUGACUCGAGUCCGAGGGAGGUGAGUGGAAUUUCCAGUGUAGAGGUGAAAUUCGUAGAUAUUGGAAAGAACACCAGUGGCGAAGGCGGCUCACUGGCUCGGUACUGACGCUGAGGUGCGACAGCGUGGGGAGCAAACAGG